AUGGCAGUUUGGCUCUUCUUCCUCCUUGUGACCUUGGCGUUACCUCAUGUUGGGAAUGGAAGCACCAACUGCGAUGCAGUCUUGAUUGCAUCGCUAGUCCAGGAACAAUGCGAUGGCGAGCCAGUGACAGGCUCAUGCUGUGAGGUGCUCAGGACAAUCAUUACACCCUCGAGGGGCAAACUGCCAUGUCUCAAAAUGGUUCUUGACCAGCCUGAGGUUAAGUAUUCGGGAUUCACCAGAGGGCUCCUGCUGGACAUGGCCAAGUCAUGCACUGCAUCAAGGGCCCCUCCCCCAGCUGACGUAACAGCAGGUUCUGUUGGCCCCAAGGACAGGGUUGUGGAUGUGCAUGAUCCAGCAGAUUCUCCCCGCCCCAAAGACAGGGACGUGGACAUGGACGCACACAGGAGCUAA
rnacentral:rRNA from 1 species